ACCAUUCUGUUCCAUGACGCACUUUGAUAGACUGGCUUUUCAGGUUUAUUUUUUACAGGGUGUGUGCUUUACAGUAAACAGUACGAGUGAGAAUUAAAUGAGGGGAAUAGGAAUCCCAGAUUUAAGAGUUGUUUUCAGACAGGUGUGAGAGAGCCUGCAAAUGAGGCCGAAAGAUUUUUUGCGGCGAACGAGCUGCUGUUCUGUGUGUUUUGACAUCUUCAAGGACCCUCUUGUCCUGGCAUGCAGCCACAGCUUCUGUAGCAUUUGUGCACAGGAAUUAUGGGGAAAGAAGAGCUCUCAGGAGUGUCCUCUCUGCAAGAGAAAGUCCUCUCUUUUAAAUCCUCCUGUCUUCAUGCUUUUAAAUAACACAGUGGAGUCCUGCCUGAAGCGGAAGAUUGAGAGUGGAUCUGAAAAGAAGAAUGGAGAACGUCGCUGUCCUCAUGAAGAUAAACUCCUGUUUUUUAAGCAGGAAGCCCAGGAGCCUCUCUGUCAUGUUUCAGACUUCAAAAAACACAGAAACUGCCAGGUCCGUCCAGCGGAGGAGACUGCUCUGGAAAUGAAGCCCACAGGGAGGCAGAUAAACGCAGCUGUUCAGACGUUCUAACAGUUCCUGUGAGAUGAAGAGGAGGCCAGACUAGCUGCAUGGAGGAAAAGAAGCAAAAGAACCAAAUAAUGUUGUGCCCUGACUUUGCCAUAUAAGACAAAUCCACAAUUAUAGAAAGGACAUCUCCUUAAAUCAAGCUUAUUAGUGGACAUUUUUCAGUGCAAACAAAACAAAAAAUGAUAAAUCCCAAUUGUUACAGAACAGCGGAUUGUAGCACUUCAUUUUGGGCUGUUAAUUUUUUUUAUGUUAACUAGCUUUCUUUCUAGGUAUUGCCUUUGAAUGCACAGACAGUAUGUCCUCCAUUUUGGAAGUUACUCUUAAGAGAGAGAGAGAGAGAGACGCCAUUCUCUAUAUAUUUUGCAUUAUAAAAUGUUUUUUUUAUUAGCAGUGACAAUAUGUAUUUUCUGUGAAAAUGUUCUUUUUUUAAGGAUAAAAUGCUAAUCUUGUGUUGACACAUCUUAUACAUUUUGUAAAUCCACAUGUCCAUCGGAUGUAACCCCUCGAGGGGCAAAAUAAGGUCAAAUGAAUUUCUAUAAGUGCUCAUAGUAAAUAAUCGAACUAAAUAUAAAGGCUGUUUGGCUAUUCUUGUAUGAAUACCUAAAACCUGUGGUGAUGAAAAUGAAUACAUUCAGAAAUGUAUGAAUUAUUGCCUAAAAUAUAAAAAUGUUGACAACUGAUCUUGUAUGAAUGUAGUUUCUGAAUGCCAUUGACAUGACUGCAAAAUAAAAUUACAUUUAACUCCA